rnacentral:lncRNA from 1 species
UAAAUCACAAAAUGUAGGAGAAUAUUCUAUAAAUGAACAAGUCAAUAACUUUGAGGGAGAUGAUAACAAAUCCAAAAACGAAGAUACAAACUUUGGGCUUAGGCGCCAUAUUAAACUUUGGCCCCUUAGGUCCUGUGUGAGCUUGAUCCGCCCCUGGCCCCUGCAGUGUUCUUCCACCUGUAAAGGAACAAUUUUUUGAUAACUUCUGUGUUGGGGCUGAGAUUAAAGGGGUCGUUGAAUGUCCCAACCAAGCAUUUGGAGCCGCCUCUGUUUCCGUCACCCCGGUCAUUCUUAGUUUGCUCCUGUAUCUCAAUCUGCUGCGAUGACCACUGGAGUAUUUUUGCUGCAUCUGGAUAUUUCUUGUUUCGGACAUCUGCGAAUCUCUGAAAUCUGAUGUUGAUGCUUAGAUACUUUGUUCUCCUAGGUGAAUUCUUAUAUCUAAUUUCAUAGGUAAGACACUUUGUUCUCCCUAGGUGAACGCUUAUGAGUCUGACUCCGUGAGAAACAUAAUUAGAAUUGGAUUCCAUUGUACUGGAAGCAUAACUCUAUUUACACAGAUUAUUUGGUAGGAACAAAUUUAACCUUUAGUAAAGAGACAUUAUAACUCGCCUUGAAGCAUCAUCUUAAUUUCCUUUAAUAAUUUUCUGCAUUACCUCCAUCUCUAUAUUGAUCUAUAACAUGGAGCUCCAUGUAAGAACAGUGGCAUAUGCAGGAAAUUUUAAUAAGUGGUGUCAAUAUUGAAAGAAAUAGGCAAAUUAAUAAAUUACCAUAAAAGGCAAGCAGUGUCAUUUUUAUAUUUACAUCUAAUUUUUAUGUUUAUUAUUUAUACAUACAUAUUGUUAAAAAAAUUAGACGAAGUGAUAUCGCGUGAUACCGCUUGGAACAAGGUGCCUACGCUCCUGUGUAAGAGCUUUAUCCUAGAUCUUGUGCUUGUAAACUGACGUUGAAUUUUAUCAGCUCGAAAAGUUGGGCUAGUUAUGGCAAUGUGUAACCUGAAGGGCAAUCUUCACAACAUCUAAAGAUAAAGCAUGCUAAUGCAUGUUAAUAUUCUGUCCUAUUAGUUAGGUUACAAGUUGAUUUUGCACCAAAUGACCAUAUAUAUAUAUAUGAAAUUUGCACCAGUAAGCUGAAUAAUAAAAUUGUGGAUACUGCAACAUCAUAAGAGCUCAGCAGUGAAAAAGAUACAAAGGACCCUUUUAUUAAUAGAAAAAUACACAUCUCCCACACUAUAUACAGAAAGGAACACUUUCAAAACUUGGAAAACCACUCGUUCCCUUGUAUCUCUCAUAGUGCUUUUACCUUGAUCACUUCUUUUUACAAGACCCUUUGUGCCUUCUCCUUUAUCAAGCUCACAGGAUUGCCAAAAUUUUGGUGCUCCUCACUUGAUAAAAUAUUAAAGUUUUGCAAAUGAUACAUGCAAGCAACAAUUCAGGAUCAUCGAACUGAACGAAUCAAUCUUGACUAACUUCUUUUGUAGCAGAGGUGGUCAACUCUAUGCUACUAAGAGCUGCUUCGAUAUCUUUGGCUUCAGCAGAAUC